GGAUUAUGGAGGAGAAAGCAAGAGGAGCCCACCAGGGCUUUAGAUGCCAAAGAAGUCUGUUUUCAUGCACAUGACCCUUCAGGUCAGCUUUGGUCAACUCAACUUUGUUAGCAAAAGAAUGGAAAAAAGCGAAAACAAUAAACCAGAGAUAGCACAAUCACCAAGUGUGGAAGAUGACUCCAUCUAUGGGCUCCUGCUUACGGAAUCCACUGUGUUCUGGAGGAAGUGAACAUGAUGGCGGUCACUGAAUAUGCAUGUAAUAUUAUUCUUGCCAGCAAGAAGAUUGAUUCCAUUCCUUCCAAGGGCCCCAACUACAAAUGUCAGCACAAUCCAUGCAAGGUGCUCAUUUCUCUACAGAGCUGUUCUCAAAAGCCACAAAGUCCUGAACUCAAAAGAUCCAGGCGGUAACUGGGUGGCUAGUUCUUUCUUGAAUUUUAAGAUCUUGCUUUCUCUUGCGUUGCUGAAGUUUUCCAAAUAGAAAUUUGAGGAUGGUAGAAAGCUGGUAGCUCAGUGACAGAGCACCUUCUUUGUAGGCAGAUGGGUCCAUGUUCAACCUGCAGCAUCUCCAGGUAGGACUGGAAAUGUCCCCUUGAGAGCCACUGCCAGUCAGUGCAUUCAAUACUCAGCCAGGUAAAUCAGUGGUCUGACUUGGUAUAAGGAAGCUUCCUAUGUUCUGCUGUAAUUUGACUUCUGAUUUCUCUGCUAUUUGUCAAUAUGGGGACAAUUGUGCAUGGUGGUGCCUGUACAUUUUGUGAAUUUUUAGCUGGGCAAAGAAAAAGUUUAUUGAGCAUCUUAACUCUGAAAUAGUUAACUUGAACAAGCCAAAUUUGUUAGCACCAAAUUUGUUUCAUGCCUUCCCCACAAACAUAUAUGUGGCCUUUUCUCAGCAUAUGUUUUGCAUUGACAGGAAGAUCUGGUUUUCCCAGCAGACAUUUAGAUGUUUUUUGUUUGUUUUUAAGUAGCAAUAUCUGACUUGUGGCUUCCAAUUAUGUUGCUAUUUUGUGCAUUAUUUAUUGUUCUUAUCCAGCUCCUUCAGACUUUCCUGUUAGCAACAGAUAUGGUUGCUGUCAUUUCCUGCUGGUUUUCUAUGUUGUGAUAGU